CGAGCGAACAGACGAGGAGCUUGCUCCUCUGACGUUAGCGGCGGACGGGUGAGUAACACGUGGAUAAUCUACCUAUAAGACUGGGAUAACUUCGGGAAACCGGAGCUAAUACCGGAUAAUAUAUUGAACCGCAUGGUUCAAUAGUGAAAGACGGUUUUGCUGUCACUUAUAGAUGGAUCCGCGCCGCAUUAGCUAGUUGGUAAGGUAACGGCUUACCAAGGCAACGAUGCGUAGCCGACCUGAGAGGGUGAUCGGCCACACUGGAACUGAGACACGGUCCAGACUCCUACGGGAGGCAGCAGUAGGGAAUCUUCCGCAAUGGGCGAAAGCCUGACGGAGCAACGCCGCGUGAGUGAUGAAGGUCUUCGGAUCGUAAAACUCUGUUAUUAGGGAAGAACAAAUGUGUAAGUAACUAUGCACGUCUUGACGGUACCUAAUCAGAAAGCCACGGCUAACUACGUGCCAGCAGCCGCGGUAAUACGUAGGUGGCAAGCGUUAUCCGGAAUUAUUGGGCGUAAAGCGCGCGUAGGCGGUUUUUUAAGUCUGAUGUGAAAGCCCACGGCUCAACCGUGGAGGGUCAUUGGAAACUGGAAAACUUGAGUGCAGAAGAGGAAAGUGGAAUUCCAUGUGUAGCGGUGAAAUGCGCAGAGAUAUGGAGGAACACCAGUGGCGAAGGCGACUUUCUGGUCUGUAACUG
rnacentral:rRNA from 1 species